CGUCCACCGAUUGACUAAGGUUUCCAGAGGAAGGCUCGUCCGCUCUGGGUUAGUCGGGUCCUAAGCUGAGGCCGACAGGCGUAGGCGAUGGAUAACAGGUUGAUAUUCCUGUACCACCUAUAAUCGUUUUAAUCGAUGGGGGGACGCAGUAGGAUAGGCGAAGCGUGCGAUUGGAUUGCACGUCUAAGCAGUAAGGCUGAGUAUUAGGCAAAUCCGGUACUCGUUAAGGCUGAGCUGUGAUGGGGAGAAGACAUUGUGUCUUCGAGUCGUUGAUUUCACACUGCCGAGAAAAGCCUCUAGAUAGAAAAUAGGUGCCCGUACCGCAAACCGACACAGGUAGUCAAGAUGAGAAUUCUAAGGUGAGCGAGCGAACUCUCGUUAAGGAACUCGGCAAAAUGACCCCGUAACUUCGGGAGAAGGGGUGCUCUUUAGGGUUAACGCCCAGAAGAGCCGCAGUGAAUAGGCCCAAGCGACUGUUUAUCAAAAACACAGGUCUCUGCUAAACCGUAAGGUGAUGUAUAGGGGCUGACGCCUGCCCGGUGCUGGAAGGUUAAGAGGAGUGGUUAGCUUCUGCGAAGCUACGAAUCGAAGCCCCAGUAAACGGCGGCCGUAACUAUAACGGUCCUAAGGUAGCGAAAUUCCUUGUCGGGUAAGUUCCGACCCGCACGAAAGGCGUAACGAUUUGGGCACUGUCUCAACGAGAGACUCGGUGAAAUCAUAGUACCUGUGAAGAUGCAGGUUACCCGCGACAGGACGGAAAGACCCCGUGGAGCUUUACUGUAGCCUGAUAUUGAAAUUCGGCACAGCUUGUACAGGAUAGGUAGGAGCCUUUGAAACGUGAGCGCUAGCUUACGUGG
rnacentral:rRNA from 1 species